rnacentral:lncRNA from 1 species
UUUAGUAUUUUCUUUGUUAGUUCUAUCUCUUUUUCCUUCAGAUAAAUCUAAAACUCCUUUGAAAAAGAAAAAGAAAUAAUUUCUAUUUUUUGUUAAUUCAAUAAAAUAAAUAUAAUAUAAAUAGUAGACUGGAAAUGAAAGUCUAUUUCUCGCAUCCAUCACACAAAAAUAUCGGAUGCAAAACAUUUGGUACAUGAAGCCACGAUCUGAUAAAUAUACAUCCAAAUAUACAUACUUAUAUAGCUAGAAAGUAUGUGAUCAAAGAGAAAGUGGAAAAGGCUCUUAUCUUGUAACUUGAAAGAAACCCUUCUCUGUGGAGGAACAGAAUAAGAAUUUAUUCUUAUAUAUAAUAUAGACAAUCUCGAAAAAAGA